GACGGAGGGUGCAAGCGUUGCUCGGAAUCAUUGGGCGUAAAGGGUGCGUAGGCGGCUUUUUAAGUCUGACGUGAAAGCCCAGGCUUAGCCUUGGAAGUGCGCCAGAAACUGGAAGGCUAGAGUGCCGGGGGGGGGGAGUGGAAUUCCUGGUGUAGCGGUGAAAUGCGUAGAUAUCAGGAGGAAUACCGGUGGCGAAAGCGACUCUCUGGACGGUAACUGACGCUGAGGCACGAAAGCGUGGGGAGCAAACAGG
rnacentral:rRNA from 1 species